UAGCAGAACGCCACAGUUUGAUGAUCGUGGAUACCUGAUGAGGUCCUAAUAAAGCCGCACACGUGUCAACCUUUAUGAGUAUCCACUCGGGACAGAUCUGGAUCGUUCCUCUCGGAUCUAGAUCUUGCUUCUCUAAGAGGAUCUGUAGAUGCUCUCGAUUUGAAAAAUGGAUCACAAUCAAUCCUUGAUCAUGGCACAGUCUCCUCU
rnacentral:lncRNA from 1 species